AUUGUGAGCUCGAUGAGUAGGGCGGGACACGUGGUAUCCUGUCUGAAUAUGGGGGGACCAUCCUCCAAGGCUAAAUACUCCUGACUGACCGAUAGUGAACCAGUACCGUGAGGGAAAGGCGAAAAGAACCCCGGCGAGGGGAGUGAAAAAGAACCUGAAACCGUGUACGUACAAGCAGUGGGAGCCUCUUUAUGGGGUGACUGCGUACCUUUUGUAUAAUGGGUCAGCGACUUAUAUUCUGUAGCAAGGUUAACCGAAUAGGGGAGCCGAAGGGAAACCGAGUCUUAACUGGGCGUUAAGUUGCAGGGUAUAGACCCGAAACCCGGUGAUCUAGCCAUGGGCAGGUUGAAGGUUGGGUAACACUAACUGGAGGACCGAACCGACUAAUGUUGAAAAAUUAGCGGAUGACUUGUGGCUGGGGGUGAAAGGCCAAUCAAACCGGGAGAUAGCUGGUUCUCCCCGAAAGCUAUUUAGGUAGCGCCUCGUGAAUUCAUCUCCGGGGGUAGAGCACUGUUUCGGCAAGGGGGUCAUCCCGACUUACCAACCCGAUGCAAACUGCGAAUACCGGAGAAUGUUAUCACGGGAGACACACGGCGGGUGCUAACGUCCGUCGUGAAGAGGGAAACAACCCAGACCGCCAGCUAAGGUCCCAAAGUCAUGGUUAAGUGGGAAACGAUGUGGGAAGGCCCAGACAGCCAGGAUGUUGGCUUAGAAGCAGCCAUCAUUUAAAGAAAGCGUAAUAGCUCACUGGUCGAGUCGGCCUGCGCGGAAGAUGUAACGGGGCUAAACCAUG
rnacentral:rRNA from 1 species